GCCAUGACUGUACGAUCACCCCCAACUACACGUGGAUGGAGAUCAACUGGGCCCCCCUGGUGUGGGUCAACAGGUCCUCCCCUAUCACCCGCCCUAUAUGGGGCAUACAGGUUGUUGUGGCAAUCAUAAGUUUUUUGGAGACCAUCCUCAUCACAUACCUUAGCUAUAAGGGCAGCCUUGUUCAGUCAGUGUUCAACAUCAGGUUCCUGUUAGAAAUGAUCAACACAGUCCCAUUCAUCAUCACAGUA